UCUACGUCAUAACGUAAGAUCGCGCCAUACUGGCAGUGGCCACUGGCCAGAGUAGAGAGCCUUGAUAAAGUAUGGAACGUUUUCAGGAUAUUCAGCUUUCACUAAAGCGAAUUUUAGUUGAUGUGUCAAUGAAGAACAAAAGCUGGAAUGUGAAUAGAAGAAGGGGUCGUACGGGGUCUGUAAAAAUACUCAAGUGGUGCUCGCUGCAUAUCAGAUCAAGCAUUGGAAUAAGAUUUUUAUCGGGGGAGAACAACCAACAGAGAAAGACCCAUUCACCAACUACAUGGCGCACUGAAAGGGGAGAUUCAUGUCACCUUCACCAGUCCUUUCUUUAAUUGCUGGAAACUGUUAAGGGAAAGACCCUCAGACAUAAUAGGAUAAAUGUGGCUGCAGGUAAAAUUAUUUGAUGGUGUUAAGGUUUAUCAUUAUCUAACAAACCAAAUGCUUUGUUCAAUAACAAGAAAUCACGUUAGGGCCAUUUUCUGGAAGAGAAAUCCACUUGGACAGUUUGACAAGGAUCAAGAGGCCAAGGACCAGGUGGUGAAGUCGGAACCAGACCAGACAGCUCUCGCACAGCCAGCCUCUGAACCUGCUCUACAGUUUGAAUCGCCCGGGUGAAGUUAAACUCUACUUUGCUGGUGACCCAGAUGGCUGAGAACAUGAUAGGCUGAAACCCUGGAAGCUAAGAGGGAAGCGGCAAAGGAGUUCGAAGAAGAGCUGAAAAGCACGUCUUAAUGAACACAAGGACAAGGCCUGGUGAAAGCCACUACAGAGGAUCAUAGCCAUCGUUGGAGUUCUGAAAGGACGUGGGUGAAUAUCAAUCUGCCAAAUGAACUUUUUUUUAGCAUGCACAUUCACAUCUUUAUAUUAAUACUGAUUAUAUAUGAACUUGUUUGUUUGUUACUGGAAACAACUUCGCUUCUAUUGUGUUUGACAGAAGGAGUUUUAAGCCUAUGUGCAUUUUCUAGAUGUUAAGCAUGAACAGUACUUAAACAACCAUUACCCGUACCAGCUCUGUCCGUGCUCCAUUUUCCAUUGCAGAUCAUACUCAAGAGAUAGUACCCCUUAAAUGCAGCUGGUUGUCAUAGCAAGGCCACACACAACUGCCGCGGCGUAAUGUUCAAUGCGAGGUACACACCAGCGCCCCAAUUUAAUUUAAAACGUUUCAGCAUUACUCGGAUUGUACUUAAUUUAACUAAAACAAAUAUCAAAAACAUGUCUAAUUAAUACUUUAUCAACACGUCAUACUCCUGGAAAAGACCCACAUAAAUCACAUAUUUUAAAGGAAUAGUCUACUCAUUUUCAAUAUUAUUUAAUAUUUUCAUAUUUCAACAUAUAUCAAUAAUAUGUUAUUACCUUAACUAAGAAUUGUUGAUACAUCCCUCUAUCAUCUGUGUGCGUGCACGUAAGCGCUGGAGCGCGCUGCGACGCUUCGAUAGCAUUUAGCUUUGAGUUCACUCAAAAGUCGAUUUAAAAUUGCAGUUUAAAAAAACUUGCAUGCAUUGAAGACCCGUCACCCCUAGGAACAACAUGAAACGAUUGAAUAUAUCUUCAUAUGAUAUAUCAGGACACUUCUUAAUUUCAUCCUCACACUGGCUCAUACAUGGCUGGUGUAGUAAAUAUUUACCAUAACUGUUUUUAUCAUGUUUUAUGCGUGCUCCCACCACACUGUUUUCUACUUGCUGGCCAUAAAAACUGAGCUCCCGCACAAAGAAGGGAAAUACGUCACAUCUCUUACUCCCGCGUUUGAAAAUAAUGUGGAUAACAACAUUAUUCUGUUUGAGGUGUAACAAGCUGUGUUCCCACAUGUUUAAAGGCUCUCUAAGCGAAUCUGCGAGACGUUAGUUAUUGUUGACUUUUAAAACUGUUUUCAAACAGACGGAGCGUAGCUAACUCCUCCCCCUCCCUUCCGUGCUUUCAUGAACGCGCCCAACCCCCACCCCCAAAUCCUUUGUCGUUUAUUGGCUGGAAUACUUUGUUUUGUUUUGUGAUGCUAGGUUUGGCCACUUGUUGAUAUUGCCGUUUGUGAAGUCUAGGCUGUCUACAGAGAUCGCGUUUUUUUACAGUUUGAUCAACGGGCAGGCAGCAAGCAGAUAGUGAGGAGAUGUUUCCGGUAUGUAACAAAAAAUGUUUUAUGGUCUAAAACGCUUCAAUUCCCUUAAAGCGCCUUUGUUUUGCCGCUUAUGACCGUAAUCAUCAUGGAAAACGUUGGUUUACUGAUACUACACGCCAGAAGUCGCACCCAUAAUUCGCGCAAAUCGUCAUGGGGUGUAGGAAUAGUGUGCAUAGGGCCCAAAAUUAUUAACAAGAGGGUAACAUUCUUCAUAGAGCCAUAGCUUAUUUAUUUUGCUUUUAAAGUGCACCAAAUGAAUGCACUUAACAUUAAAAUGAACACUUUUCUUUUGAGUGGAAAUGUACAUCUCAAAUGGGGAUCUGCAGUGAAUGGAAAGGACAUUGCUGUAAAAUAUCAGAAAUAUGUAUGUAUGUAUGUAUUUAGUGAAAAAGUUGUUGAUGCAAAUGCACUUAACAUAGACCUUCUGUUUGUUUUUUGUACAUUUAAAACACAAUAUACUAAUACAGAAUGUGUGGACAUAAACUGGAAUGUUGGUUGCAAUUACUGUCAAAUAAUGUUUAUAUUAAGUAAAUCCCAUGUACUAUUAAGAAAAGUCUGUAGAUAUAUUGGAGUUGUUUGUUAUUACUGUCAAAUUAUAUUCAUAUAAGGUUAGUCCCAUGCACUUAUAAGAAAGGUCUGUAUAUAUCGGAGUUGCUUAUAACAGUGGUUCUCAAACUGGGGUCCGGGGCCCCCAGGGGGGCCGCGAGAUGGUGCCAGGGGGGCCCCAGUUUUAUGACAUUUUAUAAAAUACAUUAAAUUCUAAUGAAUUCUGGGAAAUUAAACCAAAAAAAGGUAGCACUACUUUGUAUAAUUUAAUGUUUUGUUUAAUUAAAAUGUGAAGUUUUAGAACAGUUUUUUGUCAUAAAUUUUCUUUGGGGGGGCGCGAAGGAAUGCACCGUACCCAAAGGGUGGCCGCACGCUGAAAAAGUUUGAGAACCACUGGCUUAUAAAGUAAACCCCAUGAUGUAAUGGAAAAAGUAUAUGUGUGUGUGUGUGUGUGUGUAUAUAUAUAUAUAUAUAUAGGGCAGUUGCUUGUAAUUGCCAUCAAAUAUUGUUUACAUAAAAUAAACAUGUGUAUUUUUACAUAUAUGGGAUAAUUGCUUGUAAUUACUGUCCAUUUAUGUUUAUAUAAAGUGAACCCAUGCAUUGAGUAAAUGUCAUGUUGAUAUAAAGUUUUAUUAGUAUAAAGCAAUGUUUAUAUAAAGUAUACCUCAUACAUUGAUGGUAAAAAAAUGUAAAUUUAUUGGAGAUGUUUUUGUAAUUAAUGUCAAGUAUUGGUUAUAUAAGGUAAACCCCCAUAAAUUAAUGGUAAACGUAUGUAGAUAUAUUGGAAAGUUGCUUAUAAUUACCAUAAUAAAAAAUUUUUUAUAAGGUAAAGCCCCCAUACAUUAAAGGUAAAAAAUAUGUAGAAAUAUUGGAGAGUUGCUUGUUAUUACUGCCAAAUAAUCUUUAUAUAAAGUAAACCCCCCAGUAUUUAAAUGGUACAAACAUGUAGAUAUAUUGAAGAGUUGCUUGUUAUUACUGUCAAAUAAUGUUUAUAUAAUGUAAACCUGCAUACAUUAAUGGUAAAAGCUUGUAAAUUUAGUUUAGAUGUGUCUAUAAUUACUGUCAAAUAAUGUUUAUAUAAUGUAAACCUGCAUACAUUAAUGGUAAAAAUUUUAAAUUUAGUUUAGAUGUGUCUAUAAUUACUGUCAAAUAAUGUUUUUA